ACUCCUGCGGGAGGCAGCAGUGGGGAAUAUUGGACAAUGGGCGCAAGCCUGAUCCAGCCAUGCCGCGUGAGUGAUGAAGGCCCUAGGGUUGUAAAGCUCUUUCACCGGUGAAGAUAAUGACGGUAACCGGAGAAGAAGCCCCGGCUAACUUCGUGCCAGCAGCCGCGGUAAUACGAAGGGGGCUAGCGUUGUUCGGAUUUACUGGGCGUAAAGCGCACGUAGGCGGACUAUUAAGUCAGGGGUGAAAUCCCGGGGCUCAACCCCGGAACUGCCUUUGAUACUGGUAGUCUUGAGUUCGAGAGAGGUGAGUGGAAUUCCGAGUGUAGAGGUGAAAUUCGUAGAUAUUCGGAGGAACACCAGUGGCGAAGGCGGCUCACUGGCUCGAUACUGACGCUGAGGUGCGAAAGCGUGGGGGGCAAACAGGAUUAGAAACCCGUGUAGUCCCAUG
rnacentral:rRNA from 1 species